rnacentral:rRNA from 1 species
UAGGGAAUAUUGGACAAUGGGUGAGAGCCUGAUCCAGCCAUGCCGCGUGCAGGAAGAAGGCGUUAUGCGUUGUAAACUGCUUUUUGCCAGGGGAUAAAAUGAGCAUGCGUGCUUAAUUGAAGGUACCUGGUGAAUAAGCCACGGCUAACUACGUGCCAGCAGCCGCGGUAAUACGUAGGUGGCAAGCGUUGUCCGGAUUUAUUGGGUUUAAAGGGUGCGUAGGUGGCCCUGUAAGUCAGUGGUGAAAUAUCUCAGCUUAACUGAGAGGGUGCCAUUGAUACUGCAGGGCUUGAGUACAGAUGAGGUAGGCGGAAUUGACGGUGUAGCGGUGAAAUGCAUAGAUAUCGUCAAGAACACCGAUAGCGAAGGCAGCUUACCAAGCUGUAACUGACACUGAGGCACGAAAGUGUGGGGAUCAAACAGGAUUAGAUACCCCAGUAGUCCCUGAGCGGGCUGGCAAGGCGCAU